UUUGUGGAGUGUGUUCUAAAUUGGUUUUUGCUUCACGUGAACAAAUGAGCGUUACUUGUUAAUUUUUGAUUGCAUAGGGAACUACAUAUGCCUGCAGGAUCAAGUUUGAGUUUUGAAAUGUGUUCCUACUUCCUAGCUCUCAUAUGUAGUGUAUAUAGUAACUCACCAAGUAAAGUAGUUUUUCAGUGGCUUUAUUAAUCUACAGCUGUAUCAAACCUAUCUACAUAACUUAAAUAAUUUGUACCCUGGAUCUGAACUUGAGGACCUAAUACUACCAUAUUCAAAUAAGAGUUAUCUCGUACCAUGUCCGUGUAUCCUUAUUUGUUGUCAAUUGAAGUAUAUGUGUGCAACAGGUUACCCGUAUAACUUGGAAUUUGAUUAUGGUGCACUGGGAC
rnacentral:lncRNA from 1 species